rnacentral:hammerhead_ribozyme from 1 species
AUCCAACUGACGAGUCCCAAAUAGGAUGAAAUGCGUGUCAAACUGGAU